rnacentral:rRNA from 1 species
GACGAACGCUGGCGGCGUGCUUAACACAUGCAAGUCGAACGGAAAGGCCCUGCUUGCAGGGUACUCGAGUGGCGAACGGGUGAGUAACACGUGGGUGAUCUGCCCUGCACUUCGGGAUAAGCCUGGGAAACUGGGUCUAAUACCGGAUAGGAGCCAUUCUUAGUGUGAUGGUUGGAAAGAUUUUUCGGUGUAGGAUGAGCUCGCGGCCUAUCAGCUUGUUGGUGGGGUAAUGGCCUACCAAGGCGGCGACGGGUAGCCGGCCUGAGAGGGUGGACGGCCACAUUGGGACUGAGAUACGGCCCAGACUCCUACGGGAGGCAGCGGUGGGGAAUAUUGCACAAUGGGCGCAAGCCUGAUGCAGCGACGCCGCGUGGGGGAUGACGGCCUUCGGGUUGUAAACUCCUUUCGCUAGGGACGAAGCUUUUUGUGACGGUACCUAGAUAAGAAGCACCGGCUAACUACGUG